AUUCUUACCUGGCAGCAGAGAUACCAUGAUCAUGAAGGUGGUUUUCCCAGGGUGAGGCUUAUCCAUUGCACUCCGGAUGUACUGACCCCUGCAAUUUCCCCAAAUGUGGGAAACUCGAUUGCAUAAUUUGUGGUAGUGGAAGAUUGCGUUCGUGCUUUCCCCUC
rnacentral:snRNA from 1 species